rnacentral:other from 1 species
UCAACCCUGCAGUGUUCGAGCCUAAACGGAGUCCUGUCCUUUACUCUUUCGCAAUCGGGAGCUUGACCCUCUUCGGUGGCUGUCCAGCCGUCAAUCGGAAGACAAAAACCGCGGAGAAAGCACCCACCUUAGACGCAAAAGGCCAAGGACUCCCCUUUAUACGGCACAGGUGGGGCCAUU